rnacentral:tRNA from 1 species
UUUGUCGUGGCCGAGUGGUUAAGGCGUGGACUGAAAUCCAUUAGGAUCUUCCAGCAGAGUUCAAAUCCUGCCGACAACA